GGACUUUACUCGUCUCGCGAAUGCAUCCNAGAUGAUNAAAUGAUCAUGGCUCAGAUUGACGCUGGCGUAGGCCUAACACAUGCAAGUCGAGCGGCAGCACAAGUAAGUUUACUUAUGAGGUGGCGAGCGGCGGACGGGUGAGUAAUGCCUAGGGAUCGUUGGCCGCGUCGGAAGGGUCGUCUGGAAUGUGUGGGAUAACAGGUUGGAAACGACUGCUAAUACCGCAUACGCCCUACGGGGUGAAAGNGAGCGUGGGACCUUUUCCGGGNCCAUUUCCCGGCGGAAUUGGNAUAGGAACCCUAGGGUAGGCGAUUAAGCGUAAGGGUUUUGGGGUUGGGCAANGGUGGGUUUAANGACAGUUUUGGCGGGACCCUUUACCAAAGCCUGCCGAAUAAGUGGGGCUCCCNGGAAAUCCGGAAAUUCCCCCUCAAUAGGUGCUUUAGUUAUCCCUUUAGACGGGAAGUGGAUGAAUCCAGCCAACACUGGGACUGAGGACACUGGCCCAGACUCCUACGGGAGGCAGCGAGUGGGGAAUAAUUUGCGACAAUGGGGGCAAACCCUUGGAUGCAAGUCCAUGCGCGCCGUGUAGUGAACGGAAAGCCCUUCGGGGUUGU
rnacentral:rRNA from 1 species